ensembl:lncRNA
GGACAACAAACACCGAUUUCACUGUGUUUCUUUAAAUAUAUUUAUUGUUACCUUUAUUUAACUAGGCAAGUGAGUUAAGAACAAAUUCUUAUUUUCAAUGACGGCCUAGGAACAGUGGGUUAACUGCCUGUUCAGGGGCAGAAAGACAGAUUUGUACCUUGUCAGCUCGGGGAUUUGAACUUGCAACCUGCCGGUUACUAGUCCAACACUCUAACCACUAGGCUACCCUGGCGCCCUUUCACUCGUGUAACGAAGUGAAGUUGAAGUCGCAAAAAUUUAGCUGAUAAACGCUCAACUGGUCUUGUAUAUCGAGAGAACGGAGAAAAGCGUUUCUCAGCUAGCAACAAGUUAACUUACCAACGUUUGUUCAUAAUGUAGCCCCCGCUGAUCGUCGCUGGCCAUGGCUGCGCUGUGUGGCUCGCGCUACCGGUAGAGAGGUGCGAGGGAUGAGGAUGAGGAAUUCUUUUGAGGGCCAGCUGAAUGCAGGUGUGUUCUCCCGUCAACAUGAGGCUCCUGCUUCUCCCGCCCCAAAUACAAACAGAGGUGAGGGACGAUAAGCCAGUUUUUGAGAAGAGGCAUCUGGUGGAGGAGGAGGACAUGUAGAUGCACUCCAAGUUCCUGGACAGAAAGGCAGAGCAUGCCUCAUACCUGCGGCUGGCAGCUCCGCGCCAUGAUCCCUGACUUUUGGCAGUUCCUGUUACUACAUAAACCAAGCAAUGUCUUCAUGGUCGCCCGUGAGGACUUCUCUCCCUUCCG